GCAUUCGUGGUGUAACGGCAGCACACUUGGCGCGUAAUCAAGAGAUCCAGGUUCGAGUCUCGGUGAGGGCA
rnacentral:tRNA from 1 species